rnacentral:miRNA from 1 species
ACUUUGUCGUGUGUGUGUGUGUGUGUGUGUGUGUGUGUGUACAUAUAUAUAUAGACAUACAUACACAUACAUACACACAUACACACUGU